rnacentral:rRNA from 1 species
GGACCCGCACAAGCGGUGGAUGAUGUGGUUUAAUUCGAUGCAACGCGAAAAACCUUACCCACCUUUGACAUGUACGGAAUCCUUUAGAGAUAGAGGAGUGCUCGAAAGAGAGCCGUAACACAGGUGCUGCAUGGCUGUCGUCAGCUCGUGUCGUGAGAUGUUGGGUUAAGUCCCGCAACGAGCGCAACCCUUGCCAUUAGUUGCUACGAAAGGGCACUCUAAUGGGACUGCCGGUGACAAACCGGAGGAAGGUGGGGAUGACGUCAAGUCCUCAUGGCCCUUAUAGGUGGGGCUACACACGUCAUACAAUGGCUGGUACAAAGGGUUGCCAACCCGCGAGGGGGAGCUAAUCCCAUAAAGCCAGUCGUAGUCCGGAUCGCAGUCUGCAACUCGACUGCGUGAAGUCGGAAUCGCUAGUAAUCGUGGAUC